GAGAUUAUCGUCUAAAGGUAAGACUAUGUACUUUUAAUACAUGAAUAUAAGUUCAAUUCUUAUUAAUCUCA
rnacentral:tRNA from 1 species